CAGCAGCCACGGUAAUACGAAGGGUGCAAGCGUUAAUCGGAAUUACUGGGCGUAAAGCGUGCGUAGGCGGUUUGUUAAGUCUGUUGUGAAAUCCCCGGGCUCAACCUGGGAAUGGCAAUGGAUACUGGCAAGCUAGAGUGUGUCAGAGGAUGGUGGAAUUCCCGGUGUAGCGGUGAAAUGCGUAGAGAUCGGGAGGAACAUCAGUGGCGAAGGCGGCCAUCUGGGACAACACUGACGCUGAGGCACGAAAGCGUGGGGAGCAAACAGGAUUAGAUACCCCGGUAGUCCCUGUCUCUUAUAC
rnacentral:rRNA from 1 species